rnacentral:rRNA from 1 species
CCUACGGGCGGCAGCAGUAGGGAAUAUUGCUCAAUGGGGGAAACCCUGAAGCAGCAACGCCGCGUGGAGGAUGAAGGUUUUCGGAUUGUAAACUCCUUUUGUUAGAGAAGAUAAUGACGGUAUCUAACGAAUAAGCACCGGCUAACUCCGUGCCAGCAGCCGCGGUAAUACGGAGGGUGCAAGCGUUACUCGGAAUCACUGGGCGGAAAGAGCGCGUAGGCGGGAUAGCAAGUCAGAUGUGAAAUCCUAUGGCUUAACCAUAGAACUGCAUUUGAAACUGGUAAUCUAGAGUAUGGGAGAGGUAGGUGGAAUUCUUGGUGUAGGGGUAAAAUCCGUAGAGAUCAAGAGGAAUACUCAUUGCGAAGGCGACCUGCUAGAACAUAACUGACGCUGAUGCGCGAAAGCGUGGGGAGCAAACAGGAUUAGAUACCCGGGUAGUC